CUAUCUUUCUCAUUUAUAUUCUCCUAUACGACGUCUCUCUAGUUGACCAAAAAAAUCCAUCGAUAUUGCAGAGAAACAUAUCCAGUCUCUACGCUUUAUCCUUCUUUACCAGUCCCAAUGAUCCUGACUUCUCCUCCGCCACGGCUACUCCCCCCCCCCCCCCCCCACGCUGACGGCUCCGAUUCUCUGCUGGAAUUUCGUUGGGAAGUGCGGUGGGACCUUCAAGGUUUUGAUUAUGUCUGCAGUUCAUCCAAAUCGACCUCCCAGUUUCGAGGCCAGACCCCAUCCUCUUAAGCAAAGUCAAAUCAGACGGUUCUUUGAGCAGGACAAUUGUGGGCUGGAGCUGAGGACGGUGGAUUGAAGAAUGAGACAACGUCAUGAAGAGGAGGAAGAAGAUGCGACAGAGGUGGUGCGGAGAUGAAAGAGGAAGAAGAAAUGCGGCGAGGUGAAUGGGACGAUCUUGAGGUGAUGGAUGCGGCGAAGACAAUGAAUCGUCAGAUCUGAAGAAGCUGUGGUGGCAGAAGUUAGGGUCGUGGUGUGGAGGUGGAGCCAAGCACGAAGAAGAUAGAGGUGGCGGCAGUAGAUGAUUGAAAAUGGACUUUAGGUUUAGAAAUUUAGGUUUAGUUUCUAUUUUUUUUUUUAAAUUGGUUUAGCUUGGUUUAGUUUGGUUUAGUUUAAUAUACCGAUCCAUAAAUAUGUAAAUAAUAUCGAUAUAUAAAAUUUUUAUAAUUUUUUAUUUGUA